UGGGGAAUAUUGCACAAUGGGCGCAAGCCUGAUGCAGCGACGCCGCGUGAAGGAUGAAGGUCUUCGGAUCGUAAACUUCUAUCAGCAGGGAAGAAUACCAUGACGGUACCUGACUAAGAAGCCCCGGCUAACUACGUGCCAGCAGCCGCGGUAAUACGUAGGGGGCAAGCGUUAUCCGGAAUUACUGGGUGUAAAGGGUGCGUAGGUGGCGAUGUAAGUCAGAUGUGAAAACUCAGGGCUCAACCUUGAGACUGCAUCUGAAACUGUGUUGCUAGAGUGCAGGAGAGGAAAGCGGAAUUCCGAGUGUAGCGGUGAAAUGCGUAGAUAUUCGGAGGAACACCAGUAGCGAAGGCGGCUUUCUGGACUGUAACUGACACUGAGGCACGAAAGCGUGGGGAGCGAACA
rnacentral:rRNA from 1 species